rnacentral:rRNA from 1 species
CUACGGGAGGCAGCAGUGAGGAAUAUUGCACAAUGGACGAAAGUCUGAUGCAGCGACGCCGCGUGGGCGAAGAAGGUUUUCGGAUCGUAAAGCCCUUUUCUAGGUGACGAGAAAGGACGGUAGCCUAGGAAUAAGUGUCGGCUAACUACGUGCCAGCAGCCGCGGUAAAACGUAGGACGCAAACGUUAUCCGGAGUUACUGGGCGUAAAGCGCGAGCAGGCGGUUGAAUAAGUUACCUAUGAAAGCUCUCGGCUAAACUGGGAGAGGUUAGGUGAUACUGUUUGACUAGAGUGAGGUAGAGGCAAGUAGAAUUCCAGGUGUAGUGGUGAAAUGCGUAGAUAUCUGGAGGAAUACCAGUGGCGAAGGCGGCUUGCUGGGCCUCAACUGACGCUGAGACGCGAAAGCGUGGGUAGCGAACGGGAUUAGAUACCCUAGUAGUCC